UACGAACCGGACAAUCGUUAUUCGGAAUUACUGGGCUUAAAGGGUUUGUAGGCGGCCUUGUAAGUCAGGUGUGAAAUCCCUCGGCUCAACCGAGGAAUAGCGCUUGAUACUGCAAGGCUUGAGGGAGACAGGGGUAAGCGGAACUGAUGGUGGAGCGGUGAAAUGCGUUGAUAUCCGGAAGAACACCGGUGGCGAAGGCGGCCUGCUGGGCUAUGGCUGACACUGAGGCGCGACAGCGUGGGGAGCAAACAGG
rnacentral:rRNA from 1 species